AGGAGGCAGCAGUGAGGAAUCUUCCGCAAUGGGCGCAAGCCUGACGCAGCGAUGCCGCGUGAGCGAGGAAGGCCUUCGGGUUGUAAAGCCCUGUUGUCAGGGAAGAACAAGUACCGUUCGAUAAGGGCGGUACCUUGACGGUACCUGACGAGAAAGCCCCGGCUAACUACGUGCCAGCAGCCGCGGUAAUACGUAGGGGGCGAGCGUUGUCCGGAAUCACUGGGCGUAAAGCGCGCGCAGGCGGCUUCUUAAGUCUGGUGUGAAAGCCCACGGCUCAACCGUGGAGAUGCACUGGAAACUGGGGAGCUUGAGUGCAGGAGAGGGAAGCGGAAUUCCACGUGUAGCGGUGAAAUGCGUAGAGAUGUGGAGGAACACCAGUGGCGAAGGCGGCUUCCUGGCCUGUAACUGACGCUGAGGCGCGAAAGCGUGGGGAGCGAACAGGAUUAGAUACCCCAGUA
rnacentral:rRNA from 1 species